UACGUAGGGCGCAAGCGUUGUCCGGAAUUACUGGGCGUAAAGCGCACGUAGGCGGCUUUGUAAGUUAGAGGUGAAAGCCCGGGGCUCAACCCCGGAACUGCCUUUAAGACUGCAUCGCUUGAAUCCAGGAGAGGUGAGUGGAAUUCCGAGUGUAGAGGUGAAAUUCGUAGAUAUUCGGAAGAACACCAGUGGCGAAGGCGGCUCACUGGCCUGGUAUUGACGCUGAGGUGCGAAAGCGUGGGGAGCAAACAGG
rnacentral:rRNA from 1 species